rnacentral:rRNA from 1 species
UUUAAUGAGAGUUUGAUCCUGGCUCAGGACGAACGCUGGCGGCGUGCCUAAUACAUGCAAGUAGAACGCUGAGGUUUGGUGUUUACACUAGACUGAUGAGUUGCGAACGGGUGAGUAACGCGUAGGUAACCUGCCUCAUAGCGGGGGAUAACUAUUGGAAACGAUAGCUAAUACCGCAUAAGAGUAAUUAACACAUGUUAGUUAU